GGAAGGAUCAUUAACAAUAAUCCAACCAUCUAAACUUAGCCUUAUGUGCUGUAAUAGUUUGAGCUAGUUUUCGGACAGGCUUUGCUGUUGCAGUAUCAUCCACAACUAACGUAAAGGUCUCUAAUUAAGCUCUUUACCAAAAUCAAAUUCUCAACGAUGGAUAUCUUGGUUCCCAUAACGAUGAAGAACGCAGCGAAGUGCGAUAAGCAGUGCGAAUUGCAGAACCGUGAGUCAUCAGAUCUUUGAACGCAAAUGGCGCUAGUUGGCUAUCCAGCUAGCAUGCUUGUUUCAGUGUCUUGUUAUCUCAUCACCCACAUCUUAAUGUGAGAGAUAUCCUUCUCUUACUAAGUAUGAAAGUACACUGUACUUUGCAGGCAGCUUUCGAGUUGCACUCAAUGCAGCAGUCACAUCCAAUGUGAACUCAUUGAGAGUAGAGUCAGGAGCAGUGAGAACUGCUGAAGUUACUUAGAGCUAACAAACUUUACUUGUAUCUGAAAUCAAGCAGGACUACCCGCUGAACUUAAGCAUAUCACUAAGCGGAGGAAAAGAAAUUAACUAAGAUUGCCUCAGUAACGGCGAGUGAAGCGGCAAAAGCCCAAAAUGGUAAUCUUCACGUUUUACGUGACGAAUUGUAAUCUAAAGGAGGGAUACUCAAUUGGACGUGACGCAGAAGUACCCUAGAACGGGUCGCCAAAGAGGGUGACAGCCCCGUAUGUGGUGUCGUGUCUUAACGAGUACCUUUCAACGAGUCGGGUUGUUUGGGAAUGCAGCCCUAACUGGGAGAUACACUUCUUCUAAGGCUAAAUAUUAAUGGGAAACCGAUAGCAAACAAGUACUGUGAAGGAAAGAUGAAAAGAACUUUGAAAAGAGAGUCAAAAGACUUGAAAUCGUUGAGAAGGAAGCGGUAGAAAUUUAUUCUGUUGAUUUGAAUGAAGGUGUUCGCCAAAACAUUGCAAUUCUGAGUACUUCAACGGCUUUGGGUUGCACUUGUGGAAGUGAUAGCUGGAUUCAAGUCAAUGAGGCAAAAUGGGGUUUCUUAGUCAUAAAAGCUUGUGUAGCCUGGGAAGGUUCGCCUUUCAACUGCGCUGUGCUUAUGUCUAGGAAGCCUGAGGGUGCUUUUGCGAUUUUGCUAAAAUGGUUUUUACCGACCCGUCUCGAAACACGGACCAAGGAGUCUAACAUAUAUGCAAGUGUGCUGGUGGAGAAACCAACACGCGUAAUGAAGGUAAUUGAUGCCAACCGCAAGGGGCAGCAUCGACCGACCAUGAUUCUUUGAUGAAAGGUUUGAGUAUGAGCAUAUAUGCUAGGACCCGAAAGAUGGUGAACUAUGCCUGGGUAGGGUGAAGCCAGGGGAAACUCUGGUGGAAGCUCGAAGCGAUUCUGACGUGCAAAUCGAUCGUCUAACUUGGGUAUAGGGGCGAAAGACUAAUCGAACCAUCUAGUAGCUGGUUCCCUC
rnacentral:misc_RNA from 1 species